GAGGUAUUGGUGUAACAGUUAGCACAGCACUCUGUGGAAGUGCGAGAACGGGUGCAAAUCCCGUAUACCUCC
rnacentral:tRNA from 1 species